rnacentral:rRNA from 1 species
AUUGAACGCUGGCGGAAUGCUUUACACAUGCAAGUCGAACGGUAGAGGGGGCAACCCCUUGAGAGUGGCGAAACGGGUGAGUAAUAUAUCGGAACGUGCCCAGUCGUGGGGAUAACGUAGCGAAAGUUACGCUAAUACCGCAUACGAUCUACGGAUGAAAGCGGGGGACUCGCAAGAGCCUCGCGCGAUUGGAGCGGCCGAUAUCAGAUUAGGUAGUUGGUGGGGUAAAGGCUCACCAAGCCAACGAUCUGUAGCUGGUCUGAGAGGACGACCAGCCACACUGGAACUGAGACACGGUCCAGACUCCUACGGGAGGCAGCAGUGGGAAUUUGGACAAUGGACGCAAGUCUGAUCCAGCC